rnacentral:lncRNA from 1 species
AUGCAGGUGACUUCUCAUGUGGUCCGCUAUCCUUCUCUCUCCCUUGAAGGUGUUCAUGCAGAAGUCCAGAAAGUGAAGUUGCUGUACUGUUUUAUGUUUAUUUUGAACAGUUUGAACAGUUUGAACAGUUCUGGGAGAAUAAAUCUGCCCCAGCUGGCAAAGAGAGAGCUGAAUCCUCUGGUUAUUUACACAACACAACGCAGAGAACUAACGGCAAACGGAGUUUAAGGCCAGACCGGCUACAUAAGCAAUGAGCCAAAUUUAGUAAUGCCAACAUACUGAAGGAACAACAUUUGUCUCUUAUAUAUGAUACACCUAUAUAUGCACUGUCAAAGAUACUUGUCUUUGAGUGAAGAUUUAAGGUGAUAAGACAUAUCAAUAACUGCAACUUGAAUCUGUACUGAGGCUCAGUAUUUGACACAGAGUUCAUGUUCACUGCUGUAAUAGCUAAUAAUGAUUAAUAUAACUAUAAUAUUGGCC